rnacentral:rRNA from 1 species
UGAGGAAUAUUGGUCAAUGGGCGAGAGCCUGAACCAGCCAAGUCGCGUGAAGGAAGAAGGUUCUAUGGAUUGUAAACUUCUUUUGUAAGGGAAUAAAAAGAGUUACGUGUAACUUAUUGUAUGUACUUUACGAAUAAGGAUCGGCUAACUCCGUGCCAGCAGCCGCGGUACUACGGAGGAUCCAAGCGUUAUCCGGAUUUAUUGGGUGUAACGGGUGCGUAGGCGGGCCCGUAAGUCAGUGGUGAAAGUUUGGAGCUUAACUGUAAAAUUGCGAUUGAAACUGA